CGUCUUUGACUCAGUGCAUGCUACUAUGUGAUACAUUUUCAAAGAGUCGAGUUGUUUGGGAAUGCAGCUCAAAAUGGGUGGUAAAUUUCAUCUAAGGCUAAAUAUUGGCGAGAGACCGAUAGCGAACAAGUACCGUGAGGGAAAGAUGAAAAGAACUUUGAAAAGAGAGUUAAACAGUGCGUGAAAUUGUUGAAAGGGAAACGCUUGACACCAGUCAUGCGAGCGGAAAAUCAGUCUUUUGCAGUGGGGGGUUGUGUGGGAUCGGACCGCAAGGCCGGCCUAUGCUGCAUCUCUGCUGUAAGUGAUGCACUUUUUCGUUUGCAGGCCAACAUCAGUUUCUUCUGCUGGACAAAACUCUUGAGAAGGUAGCAGCUUUGGCUGUGUUAUAGCUCUUGAGCGAUACAGUGGAGGGGACUGAGGUUUUCGCAGCGCGUGCUUUCGGGCAAGGCUGAUUGGGUGCUAUGGGAUCGUUCGGUGUACAAUGCAUGCAUUUUGCGCCGUGUCUUUUCUGUACUCGCUCAACUCGGCUCUUCCGCGCUUAGGAUGUUGGCUUAAUGGUUUUAAUCGACCCGUCUUGAAACACGGACCAAGGAGUCUAACAUAUAUGCAAGUGUUUGGGUGGCAAACCCAUGCGCGUAAUGAAAGUGAACGUAGGUGCCAUCCGCAAGGUGCAGCAUCGACCGAUCUUGAUAUUUUUGGAUAGAUUUGAGUAAGAGCAUAUAUGCUGGGACCCGAAAGAUGGUGAACUAUGCCUGAAUAGGGUGAAGCCAGAGGAAACUCUGGUGGAGGCUCGUAGCGAUUCUGACGUGCAAAUCGAUCGUCAAAUUUGGGUAUAGGGGCGAAAGACUAAUCGAACCAU
rnacentral:misc_RNA from 1 species